CCCAGACUCCUACGGGAGGCAGCAGUGAGGAAUAUUGGUCAAUGGGCGCGAGCCUGAACCAGCCAAGUAGCGUGAAGGAUGACUGCCCUACGGGUUGUAAACUUCUUUUAUAAAGGAAUAAAGUGAGGCACGUGUGCCUUUUUGUAUGUACUUUAUGAAUAAGGAUCGGCUAACUCCGUGCCAGCAGCCGCGGUAAUACGGAGGAUGCGAGCGUUAUCCGGAUUUAUUGGGUUUAAAGGGUGCGCAGGCGGCGCGGCAAGCCGGCGGUGAAAUCGCGGGGCUCAACCCCGCCCAGCCGUCGGAACUGCCGGGCUAGAGUGGGCGAGAAGUGCGCGGAAUGCGUGGUGUAGCGGUGAAAUGCGUAGAUAUCAGGAGGAACACCGGCGGCGAAGGCGGCCUGCUGGACUGCGACUGACGUUGAGGCUCGAAAGCGUGGGGAGCGAACAGGAUUAGAUACCCGUGUAAG
rnacentral:rRNA from 1 species